rnacentral:rRNA from 1 species
UACGGGGGGUGCGAGCGUUGUCCGGAAUCACUGGGCGUAAAGGGCGCGUAGGUGGUUUGAUAAGGGUGUGGUGAAAGUCCGGGGCUCAACCCCGGAUCUGCCGUGCCGACUGUCAAACUCGAGGACUGUAGAGGCAGACGGAAUUCCGGGUGUAGCGGUGGAAUGCGUAGAGAUCCGGAGGAAGACCGGUGGCGAAGGCGGUCUGCUGGGCAGUUUCUGACACUGAGCGCGACAGCGUGGGGAGCAAACAGG